AAGUUAUAACCACCAAGGAUUCACCUCUAAACAUAGUCGAAAAAAAUUGUAUUGCACCUCUACCAACCCCGUCUGCUCGUCUGAAUCACAGUGAGGCUUAAUCCAAAGUUCUCAGGAUGUUGUAAGAAUGUAUGAUUAGCUGCAGGGGUGCUUCAUCACAUGUUAUUUCACCGAUAUGGAGUUAUGUCGAUGAAUGGUUCAUAGUACCAUUGCACAUGCACUCUGGGACAGGGUACUUUGUUACAUCCCUUCCUGGUUUCCUCAAUUCUGGCUGACCUAAGGAAUCUCUAUGCAAGUCCAG
rnacentral:misc_RNA from 1 species